GCGCCGCUAGCUCAACUGGCAGAGCAGCUGACUCUUAAUCAGCGGGUUCGGGGUUCGAGUCCCUGGCGGCGCACCA
rnacentral:tRNA from 21 species